UACAGAGGUGGCAAGCGUUGUUCGGAAUUACUGGGCGUAAAGGGUGCGCAGGCGGCGUCGCAAGUCAGGCGUGAAAUCCCCGGGCUUAACCUGGGAACUGCACUUGAAACUACGAUGCUGGAGUAUGGCAGAGGGAGGUGGAAUUCCACGUGUAGCGGUGAAAUGCGUAGAGAUGUGGAGGAACACCGAUGGCGAAGGCAGCCUCCUGGGCCAAUACUGACGCUCAUGCACGAAAGCGUGGGGAGCAAACAGG
rnacentral:rRNA from 1 species